ACACAAAUAAUAAAAAGGUCAUUCAUUAGUUUCAAAGUUAAUUAUCAUCCUACAUUGAAAAAGUAUCCAUCAUACAAACAUCCUACAUCAAAUCCAAAAAAAUAUUGUUGAUCAUAAUACAUGUGAGUAAAAAAUGAGGUUACUUGAGUGUCAAAGUUACACCAUCUGCAUGAUCAAAAUAUGAAUGUAUUAGUUUAUAAACUUUAGAUCUAAAAAAUAUUAAAGAAUUAACUUUGUAUCAAACUUACCAUCAUCAAUCAUCAAUCGAACUUAGAAACUCUGCCCACUCUAUCCUCAUUUCAUCAAUCUCUUUUUUGGAAUAACAUCCUCCUGUGAACUAUAAAUACAAAAUUGUGAUCAUUAAGUAAUACAUCAUAAAUGAAACCUUGAACUAAAAUUUGAUUAAAAUUCUAAAUUAUAAUUACCAACGUAGCUAAUGGGAGAGAGUGAUCGGAUACAAGAUUGUCAAAGACAUCUCUCAUGAAUCGCAUAACAUAAAAUCCACAUUGUGUCCAUCAGGUGUUGUGGAGCCUGUGUCACAAAUAAUAAAGUAGUAAACAUACUAUUUGAUCGAAGUGAAACAUAAUGUUAAGGUAAGGAAUUACAUACAUUGAUCAUUUCCCACAAAGGUUUCUUCCUCCCUCUUGUUCCUAUGCUCAUGUUGAACAUUUUCAUGGCUCUACACAUUAGAAUACACAUUAAAAUAUAUUACUAAUUAAAUUUUUUUUAAGAAACGAUAAAUCUUACAACGUCAUCAUGCUCUUCCAAUCCUCAACAUGUGUACCAUCUAUCACUGGAUCCAACGCAUAUACAGUUUCCUUAUGUGGAUCAAUCACCAAAAGAAUCCAAUGCCAACUAACAAAAAAAUUGAUAGUUAUACCAUCAAGUAUCAUAAUCAAUUUAAUUAAAACAAACUUAAUCAUUUUCACGUACCCUACAUUGCAUGGCAUCAUAACAAGUUGAUUGUACCAAUCAACCUCUGGCCUAACCUACUCGCUUGUUUGUUUUGGUCAACAUUUGGAUCGCAUGAUACCAAAUAUGGAUCAACAAAUCGAAUUCUAUCAAGAAUGUUUGAAGUCUUACACUCCUUGUAUAAGUGCCUUUAAAUUAUUGCAAGCAAAUUAGAAAAUUAUGAACAAUAUCAAAUAUUUUUAACUAAUGAAUUAUAAAAGACUUACCAUAUGUAGACACAUAUGCUCGAUGCUGCGAUAAGCUCCAAUUCACACAUGUAGUGGAUUUCAUUAAAUUCAACAAAAACUUCUCGAGCAUUACCGAAGACAUUAGGAUCCAAGGUGAAUUGAAUAGUGCGACCACCAUUGAGUGCAACACUUGCGUAUUUGUGCAACAUCUUUAAUGCCAUUGGUACAUCGGUUGCCUUCAACUUCAAUGUAUCCUUCACAUCCUUUUUUGACUGGAAUGUUGAAUAAUUAACAACUAUAAAUUAAUAUUAUAUAAGUUAAAAAGUAUACCUUAGUUCUCGGUGCUUUGACAAAUAGCAAGACAUUGUCACGAGGAACUUCCUCCACGUCAUCAUCAACUUCAACACGAUGUUCAUUCUUCACAGAACAACUGCCCUUCUCCUCACUUUCUUUGUUCAUCAUUUGUUGUUGAAGCUCCAAUAUUUUGGCGUUCAUCUCAGCCAUUUGUUUUUUCAUUUCUUGCACUUCAUUCCCUUUUUCACUUUCACUUUUCUUGAAAUAAGUCGUUGGAGUAACAUAUGCACCAACACCUCUCACACGACCACACUGUUCGGGCUUCCCAAGUGCUUGUGUAAGGACAUCAUCACUUGGUCCACUACUGGUAAACACACCAUCAUGCUUUUGUCGUAGGUAAACAUCCUACAAAGCAAAUUGUUAACAAAGUAAGUAAUAACAAUUAAAUUAAAUAUUUUGCAAUCAUAAAUACUUACAAUCUUUGAAACUGUUUCUGUCAACAUUUCACCCUCAAAUUCCCCUUUCUUGUUUGCUCGUGCUUGCUUCCACAAAAGUGCUCUAUCAGAUUCAGAAUCACCUGUCAAUUGCUCCUUCUACAAAGGAUAAAUUACUAAUAUUAGUAUUAGUAUUAUAUUUAAAAUCAUACAACUUAUUGAAAUAUUACCAUUUCUUCCCGUAAGCCGGCAUAUCCCUUGCGCGAAACAUGAUGAGGAUAUACGUUUUGUCUUCACGUCGCCGUUAGCUCUUGGCUUUUUUUCUAAAAAGUUCAUAAAACAUGAACUAAUUAGAUGAACAAUAUUUAUCAUAAAAAUUAGAUAAACAAUAUUUAACAUAAAUCCACACAAAUACUAAGUAUCUUACCCGAGAUUCUUCUGACAUACGAGUAAUGACAAAAUCCUUCCAAUCAUCUUGUGGAAUUAUAUAUUCUGGUGGAGGAUGAUACAACAGCUGAGGCUGAUCAUGGAAUGGUAUAAUGUAGGUUUUAUACAAAUAUGACUUAAAUUGACGCCACUUUGUAUUUGCUGAAGUCAAGCAUUUCUUUUUCCAAUCUUCAUGCACAUUGAACACCAACUGCGGGAAAAAUUCAAGUUAAUUAUAACAAAUUAAAAAAAUAACAACAAUAUGGCAUCAAAACAACUUACUUUAACCGAUUCACAAAUUGUGUCUUUCGCUUCUUGAGGUACAUCACUCCACUUCUCUAUGUUAACUUUAAUUUUUUUCCUAGCAAGCACACCAAUAUAGCUUUGCAACUGAGUACCCGUUUUUCCAAUGGGCUGGUCCAUUUCAUUGAAAGAAACAUCUUUUUUAAUCCCUUUAGCCCUUUCCACGGCUAAUGUGUUGAGAUACACUCUCCCUUUCACCCCCCUCGAACAUUUUGAUCCUCCAGAUGUAGAAUCACCAUCUUCAAACGAUGCCAUACCUAAAGCAACAUUAUUUCAAAAUAAGAUAUCAUUCACAAAUUAAUUUAUAACAAAUAAUAUCAAUAAACUGUAGAUUAUAAUGAAUAUUUGGCUAACACAUAAUAAUUACCAAAUUAUGAUUUUGCGUUGUCAACCCAAAUUCCAUCACAAUCUACACGAACAUAUGGUAGAUCAGUUUCAUUAGUAACAUCUAUCUGUGGCAGUCCAUUGCUAAAAUGUUGAUGGUGAAUAGCAAAAGGGCUGGCAUCAUCAUCCUCAAUUUCUGGUAAGAAUCUCCGAUGUCAUGUAUAUGACAUUUUUCUGCUGUGCUUUAAAUUUUUGGCAUAAGUUUGGUCAGCACAAACAGGACAUGCAAAAUACCCUUUAACUUUGCUCCCUGAUAAAUUGCCAUAUGCAGGAAAAUCAUUGAUUGUCCAAAGUAAGACAGCUCGGAGCAUGAAAUUUUCUUUGUGAUAUGCAUCAUAUAUCUCAGCACCUACUUCCCACAAUUGUUUCAAAUCAUCAAUCAAUGGCGCCAAAUAAACAUACAAUAUCAUUUCCUGGUUGGUGUGGACCAGAAACCACAAAGUGAGCAUCAUAUGUUUUCUUUUCAUACAUAACCAUGGAGGAAGGUUGUAUGUUAUAAGAAUAAUUGGCCAACAACUAUACUUAGAUGACAUGACACUAUGAGGAUUAAUGCCAUCUGCCGAAAGUGCCAAUCUAAGAUUUCUUGGUUCGUUGCCAAAAUUCGGCCAUUGUUCAUCCACAAGUUUCCAAGCUGGUGAAUCUGCAGGAUGACGUAGAUGGCCAUCACGAACUCGUUUAUCUGCAUGCCAUCUUAAAUUGCUAGACAUCUCUUUGUUGCCAAACAUUCGUUGGAAUCUCGGUAUUGGUGGAAAGUACCAUAACACUUUUGCUGGAACCCCUUCAUUAAUCUUGUCAUUUUUAAGCACCUUCCACCUUGACUUUCCACAUGUAGGGCAAUUCACCAAAUUUGCAUAUUCAUUUCGAUACAAAAUACAAUCUUCAGGGCAAGCAUGAAUCUUUUCAUAUUUCAUCCCUAACGUGGAUAAGCUUUUUUUUGCCUCAUACAAAGAUGAAGGCAAUAUAUUAUCCUUCGGAAGCAUUUCUCCUAUCAACAUAAGUAGGUCCGUAAAUGAAGUAUCGCUCCAUCCGUAUUUUGCCUUCAAAUUGUACAACUUAACUGUUGCAGAUAACUUUGUGAAACCAUCACAUCCAAAAUAUAAUGGCAUUUCAGCUUCCUCGAGCAGUCUAUGAAAAUGAGUUGGAUUGUCAACAUAUGCAUCAUGCACCAUGUCUACUAGCUCAUCCGAAUAAAAAUCAUGACCCACACUGCUCUCUUCUUCUUCUUUAUUGCUUGUGUUAGGUCUACUUCUCUCCCCAUGAAAAUCCAACUAACGUAUGUUAAAUCCAUGCCAUUAUAUGUGAGAUGCGCUCUUAUGGUUUUGACAUCCUUCUCGCGUAGAUUGCCACACUUUGACACAAGGACAAGGCAUAGCAUUGGGAUUUUCCCAUUUUAACGGCAAACUGCAAGAAAGACUCCACUCCUACUUCGUACUCGGUUGAUAAUCUAUUUUUGGACAUCCAACCUUUAUCCAUUUUGAUUACCUUAAGAGUGGGCAUUAAAAAAAAUAUAUGUCAUUUUACUUAACCUAUAAAUUUCACAAAUAUUUAUGAUUACUUGUGCCUAUUUCUUACACAAACACAUAAACACACAUAGCACAUAAUCGGCUCCAAGCCAUCACCACAGCAACAAAUGGAAUGGAACGAGCCAUUCCCCAACCUAUUCUCCAUAUCAACUACCUAGAUACAUGCUUAUCUACAGUGUUUACAUAACCAUUGUGCAAAAAUAACCUAGAUACAUGCUUAUCUAACCAUGGUUGCCAUUUGAACCAUGGUGAAAACAUAAAAAUAAGAUAUAGCAAACUCACCGUUGAAGCUUAUCCCUUUCUUGUCGAUUCUCUUCCAAUGGAUGAAUAAACACUUUCUGAAAUUCCUCCCACAAUUUAACAAAACACCAAC
rnacentral:lncRNA from 1 species